UUAGGGUUUAAGUUUGCUAGUGAUUAGUGAAGGAGUUGUUGUCAUUAAGUUUUAGCUUAUUGUGGUAAUUUGUUAUUGCUUUGUGCUUUCUUAUCUGAUUAAUGAAGAAAGAUCAAAACGUUGCUGUCAUUAAGUGUUAUUGCUUUGCUCUCCUUCACUCCUUGGUGUUUUGAUUAAUGAAGAUAGCCUCUUUCAAAAAGAUAAUGUCAAAAUAUUGCUUUGUGAAGGAUUGUGUUCUUGUUCCUUUGUAUUUUACUAUAUCUUUUCUUAUUAAUGUUAAUUUAGCCUCUUUCAAAGAUUUAAGAACAUGUCAAUUUUCUGCUACAAGUAUUAAAAGGUUCACACCUGAAAUAUUUUUGCUACAGAAUCAACCGAUGAAGCUUUUUUAGGUUCCAUCCAAACCGAGACAAUCUUAUUUGAGACAAUUAUCCCAUUGCCCAGUUGUGUAUUUUGAUUUCUGCAAAUGCUUUAGUUUUUUCUUUCAAAUCUUGAAUUUGCUUAGUUUUGUUGUUUAUUAAUUACCCUGAUGGUGCUAACUUAUUGUCUUACCUUAUUAAUUUGCUAUUAUAAUUAUUAAUUGAAGUUCUAAAGUUUGAACCUCUCUCAAUCUCAAUGGCUGAGACCACUCCAACUGCAUCUACUUAUAAUGGCACCGGAUAUUCUUGUUUCCAACGAACGGUUACUCUAUACGAUUGGUGGCUUGUUAAAUCUCAAAAACACUUCCAAGGAAAGUGUGUAGCCAUCUCUGGCGUCUCUUCCAGAAAGGGAGAAGCGGUCCGUGUAUUCAAUUCUGCUCCUAUUAUCAAA